ensembl:lncRNA
GCUGUGAAGAAUGGAUAGCUCAACAAACGGGUGAUUUUACAUCAAAAAGAUUACAUCUUUUCUCCGAUGUUUCAGAAAAUCAUUAUAUUAAAUUUUGAGCCUUGAACCAAUCCAACAAGCUAUGAUGCUUUUUACUCAUACCUGUAAAAAAUGUUGAUUUUGAUCAAAAGAACAAAGAAAAAUGUGGGGGGAAAAAACAAAAAGGUGCCCGACUGUAAAGAAUUACUUUUAACAGUGAAGGAACUACUCAUCCCACAAUGCACUACAAAUUCCAUAUUCCGUACACAUUGGUGUUUCAGGUUAGGAUUGCAGCUUGAAUAGUUCUACCCACUACUGCAGUAGAGUAGCUCUACCCACUAGACUUUUGAAGCCUGUAGCUCACAAUCAAAAUCCCCAUGAAGAAAAAGAAUUGGAUUUUUUACUGUUGAGGCCUAUAGGGCUUUUUAUACACUUAGAUGGCUUCGAUGUGGUGCCCAGUUACGGAGAUAUCAGCUGCAGAAAUAUCUGCCGCCUCUUGAAUAUAAUGGUACAAUGCUGUGUGGUGCACAAAGAACCAAAAAGUAUACAUUUGAAAAACUCAUCAGUGAUGUCUCUUUCUUGAAAUCACCAUCUUAUCUCAGACUGUAUGAGGUAAGUACCACCAAGCUCCAUUAUUUUCAAGAGAACAAAAAAAAGAGAAACAAAAAAGAUCCACUGCACUCUAUCCACAGACAACAUGUAUAUAAGCUGUGUCACUCAAAGUGACAAAUCACAAAGGGUCAUUCAGAAUCACAAAGAUUAAAAAAAAUAGUCCACGCUCCACUCACUGUGAAGAAAAACACAAUAAAAAGGACGUCAAACCGGCUUCUCCUGUGAGAGCAGUACCGAUAAACCACAAGGCGCAAUUCCUAAUGUGGAUCUCACGUUUUCUUGACCAGAAAACCUCACUCGUGGGAUACAUACUGCCGCACUUUGCAAUCCACUGCUUCGUACAUUAGUUCAUAAUAGUGUCUCAGGAGGAAAUCGCGGGCUAAACUAAAAGCACAUGAGGGUAUGCAGGAGAGAGUAAAUUACAGCACUUUAGCGCAUAAUAAUUCUUGGAAUGUACUGAACAUCAGAGCCUAAUAGCUGAAAAUAACAAUGCAUUCGUCUCUGAGGGUCAAUUUUUCUUUAAUGACACUUGCCUUUUUUAUUGUGUAUGGAACCAUCAAAGCAGCAGCUCCUGUGUAAUCGUUCAGGCCUCUCGGGCUUUCACACGGCACUCAGUUUCUUAUCUGCACAUGCGCAUUAGCAUGACAGAUGGAAAAACGCAGCCCUGUUGUGUUAUAGCAUCAAAACUGAUGCUAUAAAAGAGUUGUGGGGUUUUUUUAAUAGUUUUUAUGUGAACACAAAGAGCUUCUCAUAAAUUAACAGCUUAAAUCAUGUGUUUUUGUUUUGUUUGUCUUUUUUUUAAGAUUUGCAUUUCAUCAGAGUCUAAUUUAAGUCAAAUGGUGGUGUUGAGCUUUAAAUUACAUACCAGUGCACACAUUUUAGUUUUUAUUUAUAUAUAUUUUUAAUUAGCAAUGCAUACAGGUAGCCAAACUAGUCACAGCAUA